rnacentral:lncRNA from 1 species
GAGAAAUCUGUUUGAAUGUUGCAUGCUUGGAAGAAACGCAGCGGUUGAUACGGCCAAAAUAGUUACAUCUCUAAUAUUCACCGUUAUCUGCCUAUUCAAUUUACCACUUGUACGAAGAUCAUUGCAACUUUCAAGCAACUAUGUAAGUUUCUCACUCUUUUGUGAUUUCAGGCGGCAAUAUCGAAUUUUAUCACUUGAAAAUGAGACAUGAAA